rnacentral:rRNA from 1 species
AUUGAACGCUGGCGGCAGGCCUAACACAUGCAAGUCGAACGAGUGGCGGACGGGUGAGUAAUGUCUGGGGAUCUGCCCGAUGGAGGGGGAUAACUACUGGAAACGGUAGCUAAUACCGCAUACUAUCGGAUGCGCCCAUAUGGGAUUAGCUAGUAGGUGGGGUAAAGGCUCACCUAGGCGACGAUCCCUAGCUGGUCUGAGAGGAUGACCAGCCACACUGGAACUGAGACACGUUCCAGACUCCUACGGGAGGCAGCAGUGGGGAAUAUUGCACAAUGGGCGCAAGCCUGAUGCAGCCAUGCCGCGUGUAUGAAGAAGGCCUUAGGGUUGUAAAGUACUUUCAGCGGGGAGGCGUUACCCGCAGAAGAAGCACCGGCUAACUCCGUGCCAGCAGCCGCGGUAAUAC